rfam:Candidatus Nasuia deltocephalinicola str. NAS-ALF, complete genome.
GCCUUUUUAGCUUAAUAUGGUAAAGCACUUUAUUAGUAAUAAAGUUGAUAGCAGUUCAAAUCUGCUUUAAGGCA